GUGCUCUCAGCGGUAGUAUAUAUACUAAAAUUGGAAUGGUACAGAGAAGAUCAGCAUGGCCCUUGCGUAUGGAUGACACACAAAUGCAUGGCGUUCCAUAUUUUU
rnacentral:snRNA from 1 species